UUGAAUAUUCUCGAUGGGGUUGUAGCUGGCUCUUUUGGAGCAUGUGCACGCCCUGUCUUGAUUUUAUUCAUCCACCUGUGCACUUUUUGUAGUCUUGGAGAGAGUGAUCAACUGUCGGAUGAUUAUUUCCGGAUGUGAGGAUUGCUGAGUGUGAAAGCAUUCAGCUUUUCUCAGAUCGAUUUUCUCACUUCAAGUGCUAUGUCUUCAUAUACCACAUAGUAUGUUGUAGAAUGUAAUCAAUGGGCUUUUGCCUAUAAUAAUCAUAUA
rnacentral:misc_RNA from 1 species